rnacentral:rRNA from 1 species
AGAGUUUGAUCCUGGCUCAGGAUGAACGCUAGCGACAGGCUUAACACAUGCAAGUCGAGGGGCAGCGCGGGAGUAGCAAUACUCCUGGCGGCGACCGGCGCACUGGUGAGUAACACGUAUGCGACCUGCCCCGGACAGGGGGAUAAACCCGGGAAACUGGGCCUAAUACCCCAUAUGCCUCGAGGAUGCAUGUCCUUGAGGUGAAAGAUCCGUCGGUCCGGGAUGGGCAUGCGGCGCAUUAGCUUGUUGGCGGGGCAACGGCCCACCAAGGCGACGAUGCGUAGGGGUUCUGAGAGGAAGGUCCCCCACACUGGUACUGAGACACGGACCAGACUCCUACGGGAGGCAGCAGUGAGGAAUAUUGGUCAAUGGACGCGAGUCUGAACCAGCCAAGUCGCGUGCGGGAUGAAGGCCCUCCGGGUCGUAAACCGCUUUAGCCGGGGAGUAACGUGGGGGACGCGUCCCUCAGUGAGAGUACCCGGAGAAUAAGCAUCGGCUAACUCCGUGCCAGCAGCCGCGGUAAUACGGAGGAUGCGAGCGUUAUCCGGAUUCAUUGGGUUUAAAGGGUGCGUAGGCGGCGUGCCAAGUCAGGGGUGAAAGGUUCCGGCUCAACUGGGACAGUGCCUUUGAUACUGGUGUGCUGGAGUGCGCUUGCCGUGGGAGGAAUGAGUGGUGUAGCGGUGAAAUGCUUAGAUAUCACUCAGAACACCGAUUGCGAAGGCAUCUCACGAAGGCGUAACUGACGCUGAGGCACGAAAGCGUGGGGAUCAAACAGGAUUAGAUACCCUGGUAGUCCACGCCGUAAACGAUGAUGACUAACCGCCGGUCCGAUAGGGUCGGUGGCCAAGCGAAAGCGAUAAGUCAUCCACCUGGGGAGUACGACCGCAAGGUUGAAACUCAAAGGAAUUGACGGGGGCCCGCACAAGCGGAGGAACAUGUGGUUUAAUUCGAUGAUACGCGAGGAACCUUACCCGGGCUCGAACGGCAAGUGAAGAGAGACAGAGAUGUUGACGUCCUUCGGGACACUUGUCGAGGUGCUGCAUGGUUGUCGUCAGCUCGUGCCGUGAGGUGUCGGCUCAAGUGCCAUAACGAGCGCAACCCCUGCUUCCAGUUACCAGCACGUAAAGGUGGGGACUCUGGAGGGACUGCCACCGCAAGGUGAGAGGAAGGGGAGGAUGACGUCAAAUCAGCACGGCCCUUACGUCCGGGGCGACACACGUGUUACAAUGGCGGCCACAGAGGGAAGCUACCCUGCGAGGGGAUGCGGAUCUCGAAAAGCCGUCUCAGUUCGGAUCGGAGUCUGCAACUCGACUCCGUGAAGCUGGAUUCGCUAGUAAUCGCGCAUCAGCCAUGGCGCGGUGAAUACGUUCCCGGGCCUUGUACACACCGCCCGUCAAGCCAUGAAAGCCGGGGGCGCUUGAAGUCCGUGACCGCAAGGAUCGGCCUAGAGCGAAACUGGUAAUUGGGGCUAAGUCGUAACAAGGUAGCC